rnacentral:rRNA from 1 species
ACGGAGGGGGCGAGCGUUGUCCGAAGUUACUGGGCGUAAAGGGCGCGUAGGCGGGGUGUCACGUCCGCUGUGAAAGCCUGGAGCUUAACUCCAGCGGGUCGGUGGAUACGGACACUCUUGAAGGCAUUAGGGGAAGAUGGAAUUACCCAUGGAACGGUGAAAUGCGUAGAGAUGGGUAGGAACACCGGUGGCGAAGGCAGCCCCCUGGGUCGAUACUGACGCUCAUGCACGAAAGCGUGGGGAGCAAACAGGA